rnacentral:rRNA from 1 species
ACGCUCGACACCUACGGGAGGCGGCAGUGGGGAAUAUUGCACAAUGGAGGAAACUCUGAUGCAGCGAUGCCGCGUGAGGGAAGAAGGUUUUCGGAUUGUAAACCUCUGUCUUUGGGGACGAUAAUGACGGUACCCAAGGAGGAAGCUCCGGCUAACUACGUGCCGGCAGCCGCGGUAAUCUGAGCGGGCUGGCAAGGC